UCCUACGGGAGGCAGCAGUGAGGAAUAUUGGACAAUGGGCGGGAGCCUGAUCCAGCCAUGCCGCGUGCAGGAAGACUGCCCUAUGGGUUGUAAACUGCUUUUAUACGGGAAGAAACCCACCUACGUGUAGGUGGCUGACGGUACCGUAAGAAUAAGGACCGGCUAACUCCGUGCCAGCAGCCGCGGUAAUACGGAGGGUCCGAGCGUUAUCCGGAAUCAUUGGGUUUAAAGGGUCCGCAGGCGGCCAGAUAAGUCAGUGGUGAAAUUCCGUGGCUCAACCACGGAACUGCCAUUGAUACUGUUUGGCUUGAAUCAGUUCGAGGAUGCCGGAAUGUGUGGUGUAGCGGUGAAAUGCAUAGAUAUCACACAGAACACCAAUUGCGAAGGCAGGUGUCCAGAACUGUAUUGACGCUGAUGGACGAAAGCGUGGGUAGCGAACAGGAUUAGAUACCCUGGUAGUCCACGCCGUAAACGAUGGUCACUAGCUGUCCCGACUUAGGUCUGGGUGGCCAACCGAAAGUGAUAAAUGACCCACCUGGUGAGUACGUUC
rnacentral:rRNA from 1 species